UACGGGGGGAGCAAGCGUUGUUCGGAUUUACUGGGCGUAAAGGGCUCGUAGGCGGUCUGUUGCGUCGGUAGUGAAAACUCAGGGCUUAACCCUGAGCCUGCUUCCGAUACGGGCAGACUAGAGGUAUGCAGGGGAGAACGGAAUUCCUGGUGUAGCGGUGAAAUGCGCAGAUAUCAGGAGGAACACCGGUGGCGAAGGCGGUUCUCUGGGCAUCACCUGACGCUGAGGGACGAAAGCUAGGGGAGCGAAUGGG
rnacentral:rRNA from 1 species